rnacentral:rRNA from 1 species
UAGGGAAUCUUCCGCAAUGGACGAAAGUCUGACGGAGCAACGCCGCGUGAGUGAAGAAGGAUUUCGGUUCGUAAAACUCUGUUGUUAGGGAAGAAAAAAUGUAUAGUAACUAUAUACAAAAGAGACGGUACCUAACCAGAAAGCCACGGCUAACUACGUGCCAGCAGCCGCGGUAAUACGUAGGUGGCAAGCGUUGUCCGGAAUUUUUGGGCGUAAAGCGCGCGCAGGUGGUUUAGAAAGUCUGAUGUGAAAGCCCACGGCUCAACCGUGGAGGGUCAUUGGAAACUAAUAAACUUGAGUGCAGGAGAGAAAAGUGGAAUUCCUAGUGUAGCGGUGAAAUGCGUAGAUAUUAAAAAGAAUACCGGUGGCGAAGGCGACUUACUGGGCUCAUUCUGACGCUGAGGAACGAAAGCGUGGGUAGCAAACAGG